rnacentral:tRNA from 1 species
UGCGGGGUAGAGCAGCUUGGUAGCUCGUCAGGCUCAUAACCUGAAGGUCGUAGGUUCAAAUCCUGCCCCCGCAA